CAGUCUUUCCAUGUGGGAAUAUUUUUUUGAAAUCUUCCAGCCUUUUCACACAAUUUAUGAAAUCCAGUGUCCCCUGAAUGGCCAAGUCCUUCAACCUGUGGAAAGAAUGGAGUGCAAGAAGAUCAAGGAAGAAUCCCACCUUGUGCCCUAGGAAGCAAGUGCCCAGCCUCUACCUGGCACUCACCCUUUUGCUAGGGAGACAUUAAAGUCUAAAUCCUUAUCCUCGAGGAAUCGCUCGCCCCUAGGAAGGUCCGGUUGCCUAUUCCCUGCUAUAGGCAGGAUUAACCCAUCUUUCCAGGAGCCCCACCUGGAGGAAGAACACACAGGUAGGGGUAAGGAGGCAGGUGGCGGGUUUCUUGGGAUCUGGUAGGGGAUCAAAGACUUCCUGGGGCUCACCGGUACACCUUCCUUCUUUCCUCGAGCUCCUGUUCCCGAUAUUUCUUAAACAGGCUCUGGGGGUCAUCACUCACCGUCCGGGCUGGGGGAGAGGGACAAGAGCACAUGCCCUCCCUGGUCACCCCUCCGCGCUCGGGUCUCCCCAUCAGCCACCCUCCCCCUUCACUUCUCCCCAUCUCCCUCAUCUCUCAUUUUCCCUUUUACAGUAGCCUCCCCCAACCCGCUUCUUCCUCCAGCCUGCCAGGGGCUGUGCCCCUUCUCCACCGAGCUCACCAGUACCCUCAGGCAGGCAGAUAAUUCCGUGGCCCUGCACCCAGCGGUAGCAGGGGAAAAAGGCCUCGCCUUGGGUCCCCGGGCCCUGCACUGAGAUCCACUUGCAGAACCAGUCGAGACUCAACAGCACGUUGUGUUUGCGCAGCUUCACCAUCAGGAGGCGCCCCAGGUGCAGGUGGACGUCGAUCUCAAACUCUGCCUCCUGCGCAACAGUACACAGCUCAGCACACCCGGGGAGAGGUGGAGGUGAGGAG
rnacentral:lncRNA from 1 species